ACCACCGAACAAAGCACUGCCACCGCUACUGAAGGUGCUCUCCUGUGACGUACUUCGUCAGCGCCGGACUGCUGCUGCUCUUCUUCGUUGGAUUCUCGCUUUUUAUGUUCGUCAGCAUGAACACCGGCAACGCGGCCGGAUUCGAAGUCACGGCCGAGCCCGAGCCCGAACCCGAGAGAAGAGUCGGCGAGCGAAGCGAGAUGGAUGUCGCUGGUAGUGCAGAGAAUGACUCCGAGCCACGCUACGGAGACGGCUCU
rnacentral:lncRNA from 1 species